UGAUCCGCGGCGGGAGAGUUCCGCCGGUACAUCUGCGUGUAGCGCAGACAUCCAGUGGGCGCCGAAGGAGCAAACCCUCCCCGGGAAUCUCUCAGGCCCAUGUACCGCCGUGGCGAG
rnacentral:ncRNA from 2 species